rnacentral:rRNA from 1 species
UCGCCUACAUGAAGUUGGAAUCGCUAGUAAUCGCGAAUCAGAAUGUCGCGGUGAAUACGUUCCUGGGUCUUGUACACACCGCCCGUCACACCAUGGGAGUCGGAAAUGCCCGAAGUCUGUGACCCAACCGUAAGGAGGGAGCAGCCGAAGGCAGGUCGGAUGACUGGGGUGAAGUCGUAACAAGGUAUC